UGGGGAAUAUUGGACAAUGGAGGGAACUCUGAUCCAGCAAUUCUGUGUGUGUGAAGAAGGUUUUAGGACUGUAAAACACUUUUAGUAGGGAAGAAAAAAAUGACGGUACCUACAGAAGAAGCAACGGCUAAAUACGUGCCAGCAGCCGCGGUAAUACGUAUGUUGCGAGCGUUAUCCGGAAUUAUUGGGCUUAAAGGGCAUCUAGGCGGUAAGACAAGUUGAAGGUGAAAACCUGUGGCUCAACCAUAGGCUUGCCUACAAAACUGUUGAACUAGAGUACUGGAAAGGUGGGUGGAACUACACGAGUAGAGGUGAAAUUCGUAGAUAUGUGUAGGAAUGCCGAUGAUGAAGAUAACUCACUGGACAGAAACUGACGCUGAAGUGCGAAAGCUAGGGGAGCAAACAGG
rnacentral:rRNA from 2 species